CCCCAUUGCAAACGCCGCUCAUCCGCUUAUAUUGGCAGUGUUCCUUCGGGAACUAUGGGCAUAAACGCGCAUGUAAUAAGCGGAUCGGACCCGGGGGCGGUACCCGGCGGCUCCACCAAACACCCGGUCGUUGGCGGGUCAUGGGGCCGAAACAGGAUCGACGAACGUGUAAAGAUGUUGCUUUGUCCCGGUGAGAUACCACCGUUAUCGGUUCACAUUGCAUAAUUGCCAACGACAAUCAUGCUCCGGUUGCAGUUGCUGCGUAAGCAGUGACAAGACCGAAAUCUAAGCCCUUGCGCCUAGCCGCGUAAGGCGGGGUUCGCAGGCACCUGGCAACAGAAGCCUGCACU
rnacentral:tmRNA from 1 species